rnacentral:sRNA from 1 species
GUGGUCUGGAGGCCUUUUCUCUGGGACUGUUCUCUUCCUGCCUGGAGAGCAGGGCAGUGCCUGGGUGUCCAGCUUAGGGCCUCGUUGGGCAGCAGGGAGGACCACUUGAGAAAGGAGAGGGACCAGGUGGUUGGGCCACAUCAGGGCCCCUGCCCUCUAUGUUCCUGGGGGAACUAGGGGGGCGAGGGGGAGCUCCGUGUCCUCAUUGCAUUGGACUACCCAGGUUCCUUCACGCUGCACACGCUUGCAGCUGGGUGUCUUUGUUUCACCAAGCAAAGAUGGAAAUGUUAGGAGAUGCCCCGUCACGAGGCUAUGAGAAGAAUCAAGGAGAUAAUUGUGAAAGGUGACUCCCCUGGUCUGUGGCACAUCUACUAAACGCGUUUACGUGUGUGCCAAGUGUGGCUAUGAGCUGUUCUCCAGCUGCUCGAAGUAUGCACACUCGUCUCCAUGGCCGGCGUUCACCGAGACCAUUCACGCCGACAGCGUGGCCAAGCGUCCGGAGCACAAUAGACCUGAAGCCUUGAAGCUCCAGGGGCUUAGAGGCGUCUAUUCCAGGCCUGUUGCCUCUGCCAGGGAGCUGCCACCCCAGGCUAUCGGGAGAGCCUGGCCUUCUGGUGCAAAUGUGGGAAACAGGACAGGUUUCCUGUACGGGCUCCAGGACAAAGGUCAACCUCUUAUGUCAGCGGUCAGCUUGGGAAAUGGGCGUGUGGGAAGAA